UCCGGUGCAUAACACAUUGCUUUGACAAGUAUUUACAGGUUAAUAUGUUUGAUAAAUUUCACAAGUACAUAAAAGUUCCUGGUGAAUGAACUCCUGCUGGAACCAAGCCGCUCUCGAGGUUGUUGAAGAGGCAUGCACUGAACUCCUUAUAAAUAUUCUGUGCAAAUACCUAUACGACCUAUCUGAAAUGUUCACAAGGUGGUAGGAUCAAAGUAGGAGCUGAGCCGGGUGCUGCUCUGUGAAGCGACCGUGAUCGUCAUGCGACAAAUGUUCCAUAUGUUGGGGAUCACACCGGUUUACAAGCUGUGGUUGACCAUUGUUUGAUCCUUAGAGCAUACAUCCUCCCAAACUACUCGUCAUGGAACACAUGACGCCAGUCUGGACGCCGCCGCUUCGUCCAUGCCAGGCACGAUUCAAGUGGCACUGCUAUCUCCCUUCUUUGGACUCAACCUUACAGUAAGAUGAGAUAUUGAUUCCCCGCAUCCAUGUGUAUGAACACCUAUAACUUGACUGACAAAUUGUCUCAUCGGAUUGUAGAUUGAAAUUUGUUACGCAAUGGGUUUUGAUUCAGGAAAGAUUAGUUAGAAAUCAGCA